AGACCCGAAACCCGGUGAUCUAGCCAUGGGCAGGUUGAAGGUUGGGUAACACUAACUGGAGGACCGAACCGACUAAUGUUGAAAAAUUAGCGGAUGACCUGUGGCUGGGGGUGAAAGGCCAAUCAAACCGGGAGAUAGCUGGUUCUCCCCGAAAGCUAUUUAGGUAGCGCCUCGUGAAUUCAUCUCCGGGGGUAGAGCACUGUUUCGGCUAGGGGGCCAUCCCGGCUUACCAACCCGAUGCAAACUGCGAAUACCGGAGAAUGUUAUCACGGGAGACACACGGCGGGUGCUAACGUCCGUCGUGAAGAGGGAAACAACCCAGACCGCCAGCUAAGGUCCCAAAGUCAUGGUUAAGUGGGAAACGAUGUGGGAAGGCCCAGACAGCCAGGAUGUUGGCUUAGAAGCAGCCAUCAUUUAAAGAAAGCGUAAUAGCUCACUGGUCGAGUCGGCCUGCGCGGAAGAUGUAACGGGGCUAAACCAUGCACCGAAGCUGCGGCAGCGACACUCAGGUGUUGUUGGGUAGGGGAGCGUUCUGUAAGCCUGCGAAGGUGGCCUGUGAGGGUUGCUGGAGGUAUCAGAAGUGCGAAUGCUGACAUAAGUAACGAUAAAGCGGGUGAAAAGCCCGCUCGCCGGAAGACCAAGGGUUCCUGUCCAACGUUAAUCGGGGCAGGGUGAGUCGACCCCUAAGGCGAGGCCGAAAGGCGUAGUCGAUGGGAAACGGGUUAAUAUUCCCGUACUUGGUGUUACUGCGAAGGGGGGACGGAGAAGGCUAUGUUGGCCGGGCGACGGUUGUCCCGGUUUAAGCGUGUAGGUGUGUGUUCCAGGUAAAUCCGGUUCACUUUAACACUGAGGCGUGACGACGAGGCACUACGGUGCUGAAGCAACAAAUGCCCUGCUUCCAGGAAAAGCCUCUAAGCAUCAGGUAACAUCAAAUCGUACCCCAAACCGACACAGGUGGUCAGGUAGAGAAUACCAAGGCGCUUGAGAGAACUCGGGUGAAGGAACUAGGCAAAAUGGUGCCGUAACUUCGGGAGAAGGCAC
rnacentral:rRNA from 1 species